rnacentral:rRNA from 1 species
GGGUUGUGAGGUUAAGCGACUAAGCGUACACGGUGGAUGCCCUGGCAGUCAGAGGCGAUGAAGGACGUGCUAAUCUGCGAUAAGCGUCGGUAAGGUGAUAUGAACCGUUAUAACCGGCGAUUUCCGAAUGGGGAAACCCAGUGUGUUUCGACACACUAUCAUUAACUGAAUCCAUAGGUUAAUGAGGCGAACCGGGGGAACUGAAACAUCUAAGUACCCCGAGGAAAAGAAAUCAACCGAGAUUCCCCCAGUAGCGGCGAGCGAACGGGGAGCAGCCCAGAGCCUGAAUCAGUGUGUGUGUUAGUGGAAGCGUCUGGAAAGGCGCGCGAUACAGGGUGACAGCCCCGUACACAAAAAUGCACAUACUGUGAGCUCGAUGAGUAGGGCGGGACACGUGGUAUCCUGUCUGAAUAUGGGGGGACCAUCCUCCAAGGCUAAAUACUCCUGACUGACCGAUAGUGAACCAGUACCGUGAGGGAAAGGCGAAAAGAACCCCGGCGAGGGGAGUGAAAAAGAACCUGAAACCGUGUACGUACAAGCAGUGGGAGCACGCUUAGGCGUGUGACUGCGUACCUUUUGUAUAAUGGGUCAGCGACUUAUAUUCUGUAGCAAGGUUAACCGAAUAGGGGAGCCGAAGGGAAACCGAGUCUUAACUGGGCGUUAAGUUGCAGGGUAUAGACCCGAAACCCGGUGAUCUAGCCAUGGGCAGGUUGAAGGUUGGGUAACACUAACUGGAGGACCGAACCGACUAAUGUUGAAAAAUUAGCGGAUGACUUGUGGCUGGGGGUGAAAGGCCAAUCAAACCGGGAGAUAGCUGGUUCUCCCCGAAAGCUAUUUAGGUAGCGCCUCGUGAAUUCAUCUCCGGGGGUAGAGCACUGUUUCGGCAAGGGGGUCAUCCCGACUUACCAACCCGAUGCAAACUGCGAAUACCGGAGAAUGUUAUCACGGGAGACACACGGCGGGUGCUAACGUCCGUCGUGAAGAGGGAAACAACCCAGACCGCCAGCUAAGGUCCCAAAGUCAUGGUUAAGUGGGAAACGAUGUGGGAAGGCCCAGACAGCCAGGAUGUUGGCUUAGAAGCAGCCAUCAUUUAAAGAAAGCGUAAUAGCUCACUGGUCGAGUCGGCCUGCGCGGAAGAUGUAACGGGGCUAAACCAUGCACCGAAGCUGCGGCAGCGACACUAUGUGUUGUUGGGUAGGGGAGCGUUCUGUAAGCCUGUGAAGGUGGCCUGUGAGGGUUGCUGGAGGUAUCAGAAGUGCGAAUGCUGACAUAAGUAACGAUAAAGCGGGUGAAAAGCCCGCUCGCCGGAAGACCAAGGGUUCCUGUCCAACGUUAAUCGGGGCAGGGUGAGUCGACCCCUAAGGCGAGGCCGAAAGGCGUAGUCGAUGGGAAACAGGUUAAUAUUCCUGUACUUGGUGUUACUGCGAAGGGGGGACGGAGAAGGCUAUGUUGGCCGGGCGACGGUUGUCCCGGUUUAAGCGUGUAGGCUGGUUUUCCAGGCAAAUCCGGAAAAUCAAGGCUGAGGCGUGAUGACGAGGCACUACGGUGCUGAAGCAACAAAUGCCCUGCUUCCAGGAAAAGCCUCUAAGCAUCAGGUAACAUCAAAUCGUACCCCAAACCGACACAGGUGGUCAGGUAGAGAAUACCAAGGCGCUUGAGAGAACUCGGGUGAAGGAACUAGGCAAAAUGGUGCCGUAACUUCGGGAGAAGGCACGCUGAUAUGUAGGUGAAGCGACUUGCUCGUGGAGCUGAAAUCAGUCGAAGAUACCAGCUGGCUGCAACUGUUUAUUAAAAACACAGCACUGUGCAAACACGAAAGUGGACGUAUACGGUGUGACGCCUGCCCGGUGCCGGAAGGUUAAUUGAUGGGGUUAGCGGUAACGCGAAGCUCUUGAUCGAAGCCCCGGUAAACGGCGGCCGUAACUAUAACGGUCCUAAGGUAGCGAAAUUCCUUGUCGGGUAAGUUCCGACCUGCACGAAUGGCGUAAUGAUGGCCAGGCUGUCUCCACCCGAGACUCAGUGAAAUUGAACUCGCUGUGAAGAUGCAGUGUACCCGCGGCAAGACGGAAAGACCCCGUGAACCUUUACUAUAGCUUGACACUGAACAUUGAGCCUUGAUGUGUAGGAUAGGUGGGAGGCUUUGAAGUGUGGACGCCAGUCUGCAUGGAGCCGACCUUGAAAUACCACCCUUUAAUGUUUGAUGUUCUAACGUUGGCCCCUGAUCGGGGUUGCGGACAGUGUCUGGUGGGUAGUUUGACUGGGGCGGUCUCCUCCUAAAGAGUAACGGAGGAGCACGAAGGUUGGCUAAUCCUGGUCGGACAUCAGGAGGUUAGUGCAAUGGCAUAAGCCAGCUUGACUGCGAGCGUGACGGCGCGAGCAGGUGCGAAAGCAGGUCAUAGUGAUCCGGUGGUUCUGAAUGGAAGGGCCAUCGCUCAACGGAUAAAAGGUACUCCGGGGAUAACAGGCUGAUACCGCCCAAGAGUUCAUAUCGACGGCGGUGUUUGGCACCUCGAUGUCGGCUCAUCACAUCCUGGGGCUGAAGUAGGUCCCAAGGGUAUGGCUGUUCGCCAUUUAAAGUGGUACGCGAGCUGGGUUUAGAACGUCGUGAGACAGUUCGGUCCCUAUCUGCCGUGGGCGCUGGAGAACUGAGGGGGGCUGCUCCUAGUACGAGAGGACCGGAGUGGACGCAUCACUGGUGUUCGGGUUGUCAUGCCAAUGGCACUGCCCGGUAGCUAAAUGCGGAAGAGAUAAGUGCUGAAAGCAUCUAAGCACGAAACUUGCCCCGAGAUGAGUUCUCCCUGAC